UGAUUACGACACUAAAAGUCGGUAGAU
rnacentral:sRNA from 1 species